rnacentral:sRNA from 1 species
ACUCAACGUUUUUAUUUUAAAAGGGGUGAGUCUUAAUUGUUAAAGCAAGCUGGAAGUUAUCAGAUCCUUGAUCAAUUAGUUAGCCCCAAACUUGUUUCUUUGGAGUUU